rnacentral:rRNA from 1 species
UACGAAAGGGGCUAGCGUUGAUCGGAAUUACUGGGCGUAAAGCGCACGUAGGCGGCUUGGAAAGUUGGGGGUGAAAUCCCAGGGCUCAACCCUGGAACUGCCUCCAAAACUGCUAGGCUAGAGGAUGCGAGAGGUUGGCGGAAUUCCGAGUGUAGAGGUGAAAUUCGUAGAUAUUCGGAAGAACACAAGUGGCGAAGGCGGCCAACUGGCGCAUUUCUGACGCUGAGGUGCGAAAGCGUGGGGAGCAAACAGG